GACGAACGCUGGCGGCGUGCUUAACACAUGCAAGUCGAACGGAAAGGCCCUGCUUUUGUGGGGUGCUCGAGUGGCGAGCGGGUGAGUAACACGUGAGUAACCUGCCCUUGACUUUGGGAUAACUUCAGGAAACUGGGGCUAAUACCGGAUAGGAGCUCCUGCUGCAUGGUGGGGGUUGGAAAGUUUCGGCGGUUGGGGAUGGACUCGCGGCUUAUCAGCUUGUUGGUGGGGUAGUGGCUUACCAAGGCUUUGACGGGUAGCCGGCCUGAGAGGGUGACCGGCCACAUUGGGACUGAGAUACGGCCCAGACUCCUACGGGAGGCAGCAGUGGGGAAUAUUGCACAAUGGGCGGAAGCCUGAUGCAGCAACGCCGCGUGCGGGAUGACGGCCUUCGGGUUGUAAACCGCUUUCGCCUGUGACGAAGCGUGAGUGACGGUAAUGGGUAAAGAAGCACCGGCUAACUACGUGCCGGCAGCCGCGGUGAUACGUAGGGUGCGAGCGUUGUCCGGAUUUAUUGGGCGUAAAGGGCUCGUAGGUGGUUGAUCGCGUCGGAAGUGUAAUCUUGGGGCUUAACCCUGAGCGUGCUUUCGAUACGGGUUGACUUGAGGAAGGUAGGGGAGAAUGGAAUUCCUGGUGGAGCGGUGGAAUGCGCAGAUAUCAGGAGGAACACCAGUGGCGAAGGCGGUUCUCUGGGCCUUUCCUGACGCUGAGGAGCGAAAGCGUGGGGAGCGAACAGGCUUAGAUACCCUGGUAGUCCACGCUGUAAACGGUGGGUACUAGGUGUGGGGUCCAUUCCACGGGUUCCGUGCCGUAGCUAACGCUUUAAGUACCCCGCCUGGGGAGUACGGCCGCAAGGCUAAAACUCAAAGGAAUUGACGGGGCCCCGCACAAGCGGCGGAGCAUGCGGAUUAAUUCGAUGCAACGCGUAGAACCUUACCUGGGUUUGACAUGGAUCGGGAGUGCUCAGAGAUGGGUGUGCCUCUUUUGGGGUCGGUUCACAGGUGGUGCAUGGCUGUCGUCAGCUCGUGUCGUGAGAUGUUGGGUUAAGUCCCGCAACGAGCGCAACCCUUGUUCACUGUUGCCAGCACGUUAUGGUGGGGACUCAGUGGAGACCGCCGGGGUCAACUCGGAGGAAGGUGGGGAUGACGUCAAGUCAUCAUGCCCCUUAUGUCCAGGGCUUCACGCAUGCUACAAUGGCUGGUACAGAGAGUGGCGAGCCUGUGAGGGUGAGCGAAUCUCGGAAAGCCGGUCUCAGUUCGGAUUGGGGUCUGCAACUCGACCUCAUGAAGUCGGAGUCGCUAGUAAUCGCAGAUCAGCAACGCUGCGGUGAAAACGUUCCCGGGGCU
rnacentral:rRNA from 1 species